rnacentral:rRNA from 1 species
UACGUAGGGACCAAGCGUUGUUCGGAUUUACUGGGCGUAAAGGGCGCGUAGGCGGCGCGGUAAGUCACUUGUGAAAUCUCUGAGCUUAACUCAGAACGGCCAAGUGAUACUGCAGUGCUAGAGUGUGGAAGGGGCAAUCGGAAUUCUUGGUGUAGCGGUGAAAUGCGUAGAUAUCUGGAGGAACACCGGUGGCGAAGGCGGCAUCCUGGACCAACACUGACGCUGAUGAGCGAAAGCCAGGGGAGCAAACGGG